GAUGAACGCUAGCGGCAGGCCUAACACAUGCAAGUCGAGGGGCAGCACGUCUUCGGAUGGUGGCGACCGGCGCACGGGUGCGUAACGCGUAUGCAACCUACCUCUUACAGUGGGAUAGCCCAGAGAAAUUUGGAUUAAUACCGCAUAGUAUACAGAUUCAGCAUUGGGACUGUAUUAAACAUUUAUGGGUAAGAGAUGGGGCAUGCGUUCUAUUAGUUAGUUGGAGUGGUAACGGCACCCCAAGACAGCGAUAGAUAGGGGCCCUGAGAGGGGGAUCCCCCACACUGGUACUGAGACACGGACCAGACUCCUACGGGAGGCAGCAGUGAGGAUAUGGACAAUGGGCGAGAGCCUGAUCCAGCCAUG
rnacentral:rRNA from 1 species